UACGUAGGGGGCGAGCGUUGUCCGGAGUUACUGGGCGUAAGCGCACGCAGGCGGUCUGCUAAGUUUGGAGUGACAGUUGGUGGCUUAACUGCCAAAGUGCUUCGAAAACUGACAGACUUGAGGGCUUCAGAGGGACACGGAAUUCCGGGUGGAGUGGUGAAAUGCGUAGAGAUCCGGAGGAACACCAAAGGCGAAGGCAGUGUCCUGGGGAGUACCUGACGCUCAGGUGCGAAAGCCAGGGGAGCGAACGGG
rnacentral:rRNA from 1 species